CGAGAAAGCCCGCAAGGGUGAGUAAAGCGGCGCACGGGUGCGUAACACGUGGGUAAUCUGCCCUAGAGUCUGGAAUAACUCGCCGAAAGGCGUGCUAAUGCCGGAUGAGACCACGGGAGCUUCGGCUCCUGCGGGAAAAGGUGGCCUCUGUACACAAGCUAUCGCUCUAGGAUGAGCCCGCGGCCCAUCAGCUAGUUGGCGGGGUAAUGGUCCACCAAGGCAACGACGGGUAGCUGGUUUGAGAGGACGAUCAGCCACAUUGGAACUGAGACACGGUCCAGACUCCUACGGGAGGCAGCAGUGGGGAAUCUUGCGCAAUGGGCGAAAGCCUGACGCAGCAACGCCGCGUGUGUGAUGAAGGUCUUCGGAUCGUAAAGCACUGUCGCGAGGGACG
rnacentral:rRNA from 1 species